rnacentral:rRNA from 1 species
CCUACGGGGGGCUGCAGUGAGGAAUAUUGGUCAAUGGUCGGGAGACUGAACCAGCCAAGCCGCGUGAGGGAGGAAGGUACAGAGUAUCGUAAACCUCUUUUGUCAGGGAACAAAGGCGGGGACGUGUCCCCGGAUGAGUGUACCUGAAGAAAAAGCAUCGGCAAACUCCGUGCCAGCAGCCGCGGUAAUACGGAGGAUGCGAGCGUUAUCCGGCUUUAUUGGUUUUAAAGGGUGCGCAGGCGGUCUGUUAAGUCAGCGGGAAACCCCCGGGGCUCAACCCCGGCCCGCCGUUGAAACUGGCAGUCUCGAGUUGGAGAGAAGUAUGCGGAAUGCGCGGUGUAGCGGUGAAAUGCAUAGAUAUCGCGCAGAACUCCGAUUGCGAAGGCAGCAUGCCGGCUCCACACUGACGCUGAGGCACGAAAGCGUGGGUAUCGAACAGGAUUAGAUACCCUAGUAGUC